AACGGAGGGUGCAAGCGUUGUUCGGAAUUACUGGGCGUAAAGCGCGUGCAGGUGGUUUUUUAAGUUUCGUGUGAAAUCCCAUGGCUCAACCAUGGAAUGGCACGGAAAACUGGAAGGCUUGAGUACGGGAGAAGAGGGCGGAAUUCCCAGUGUAGAGGUGAAAUUCGUAGAUAUCGGGAGGAAUACCAGUGGCGAAGGCGCUGAACUGGACGGUAACUGACGCUGAGGUGCGAAAGCGUGGGUAGCAAACAGG
rnacentral:rRNA from 1 species